rnacentral:tRNA from 3 species
UCCCCCGUAGCUCAACUGGCAGAGCAUUCGACUGUUAAUCGAAGGGUUACUGGUUCGAGUCCAGUCGGGGGAG